CUGACUGAUUGAUUGAUUGGGUCCCCUUAAACCUGUAUCCAAUCUUAAUCCCAAAAGAGGAUGUUGUGCAGAGGUCAUGAAAACACUGAUCCAAAUUAAAAGCUUACAGCACCUAGUAUUCCCAGUCAGUCUCCCAACCAAGUACUAACCAGGCCCAACUCUGCUUUGCUUCCAAGGUCAGACGAGAUCAGGCUUUGUCAGAGUGGUAUGGCCGUAAGCGAAAGCUGACCCCAAAUGGGGCCUAUUUAAAUAGUGUAAUCAAAAGACUGACUGACUGACUGAUUGAUUGAUUGAUUGGGUCCCCUUCAAACCUGUAUCCAAUCUUAAUCCCAAAAGAGGAGGUUGUGCAGAGGUCAUGAAAACACUGAUCCAAAUAAAAAGCUUACAGCACCUAGUAUUCCCAAUCAGUCUCCCAACCAAGUACUAACCAGGCCCAACUCUGCUUUGCUUCCGAGGUCAGAUGAGAUCAGGCUUU
ensembl:lncRNA